rnacentral:rRNA from 1 species
AUGUGUGAUACAGACACUACUUCAGUUAAUGUUAAUAAGUAUCGGAUGCGUGCUUUCAACACCUAUGUUAAGCAAUGUGGUCUUUUUGAUCUCGGAUAUAGCAGUCCGGCUUAUACUUGGACGAAUAAGCAAUUUUCUUCAAAUCCUGUGUUUCAAAGGCUAGAUCGAUGCCUUGUCAAUGCUGAAUGGUGUGGUCGGUUUCCCAACACUAAUGUUUUCAAUUUGCCUAUUAUUCUUAGUGACCAUGCUCCUAUUUUGGUAUCCACUGAAUCUCUAUUUCGUAGGCCGAAGCUCCAUUUUAAAUUCGAAAACUGGUGGACAUUUGAA